GACAUAGGUCGCAAACGUUAUCCGGAAUUAUUGGGCGUAAAGGAUGCGUAGAUGGUUCAAUAAGUUACUGGUGGGAAAUCGAGGCUCAACCUCGUGGAAGUCAGUAAUACUGUUGAACUUGAGUGCAGGAGAGGUUAACGGAACUUUAUGUGGAGCGGUAAAAUGCGUAGAUAUAUGAAAGAACAUCAAUAUGGCGAAGGCAGUUAACUAUUCUGUUACUGACGUUGAGGCAUGAAAGCGUGGGGGAGCAAAAACGG
rnacentral:rRNA from 1 species